UAUCGUAGCCUAUGAGGUUUAUCCGAGGCGCGAUUAUUGCUAGUUGAAAACUUUACCCAAUACCCCGCCGAGACGACUUGAAAUAUAGUCGGCUUUGGCAAUUUUUGAUGGUCUCUCAGGAGACUGAUAUGCUUGUGAAAUUUUAACUCUGAAUCGUACAUAGUGUUACUAAUGCUACCUCUAACGGGCGCAUGAAACGCUAUUCAUCAUGGAAGUCUGAAAUGAUCCGUGUUGGAAAUUACUGGGUUUGUUCGACUAUGCAGCCGACAGUACAGAAACAUUGCUCGGAUCUUGUUCCCUGGACCUUGGAGGACUUUUGGUGUGGAUGAUGUUCAGUACGCCCUGUACAUUGCAAUGGAAGCACAGUGUGAUUUCACUGAGGUAUGUAUAAAUUAUGAAAUUCUCAUCACUAGUGGAUAUAAUGUUCUUUGGGAUACCCAUCCGGUUGUGUGAUUUUCUUUUUCAAAGGAAAACAUGCAGCAAAUUAGGUGAUGGUGGUGCCUAGUUCUCUUGCAGGACUUUCCCAUGCCGUCUGAAGAAGAGAGGUUGAAAGAUUGAAAAAGGCGGCGAAAACAAAACACACUACAGGAUGAUGUAGAGGUCAUAUCAGCAUCCAGCUCUGCAGGAUCAGACGAUACUGAAAACAAAAUGCACGGCGAACUGUGAACUGGGAAGCAGAUGUUCUUCUAAGGGACACCCUAGAGGCAGCAAGGUGGUGCGAACUCCAAACAUUUAAAGGCACUGUUUCCCUCCCUAGUGUAAUUGGGAUGGACGGGGAAGACCGUAUCACAACCCUUAAAGAACUACGGUUGUAUGAUGGCCUGGAUGAAGAGGAAAAUAUUCUCCUCUAGGAAACGUUCAUGUUCCAGUUACAGAGAGAUUAUGAGAUGUUCUAUGUGGAGGCAGUUGACAACAAGAAAAUGACUGUCUGUGUCACGCCCUGACCAUAGUUUGCUUUGUAUGUUUUAUGUUUUGUUUGGUCAGGGUGUGAUCUGUGUGGGCAUUCUAUGUUCUA